CCAGGGGGCCGGGCAGCUGCGUUAUCUUCGGAUACCGAGGAAAGUCCGGGCUCCACGAAACAAGGGUGGCGGGUAACGCCCGCCGGGCUUCAAACUCCGCGUGGGGGCGAGGUCAAGGGACAGUGCCACAGAGAGCAAACCGCCCCGCUUGCGGGGUAAGGGUGAAAGGGUGCGGUAAGAGCGCACCGCGUGACCGGCAACGGAAACGGCAUGGCAAACCCCACCCGGAGCAAGGCCAAAUAGGGGCGGCGCGCUGCUAGUCAGCAGGUCUGUUUCGGACCGUGAUCGCCCGGGUUGGCUGCUUGAGCCGCAUGGCAACAUGCGGCCUAGAGGAAUGGCUGCCUCUGCGUGACGGGUCCGUCAGGAAACCACGCGCAGGACAGAACCCGGCUUACAGGCCUCCUGGCGUU
rnacentral:RNase_P_RNA from 1 species